rnacentral:misc_RNA from 1 species
GAUGAAGAACGUAGCGAAAUGCGAUAAGUAAUGUGAAUUGCAGAAUUCAGUGAAUCAUCGAAUCUUUGAACGCACAUUGCGCCCGCCAGUAUUCUGGCGGGCAUGCCUGUUCGAGCGUCAUUUCAACCAUCAAGCCCCAGGCUUGUGUUGGGGACCUGCGGCUGCCGCAGGCCCUGAAAACCAGUGGCGGGCUCGCUGUCACACCGGGCGUAGUAGCACAUCUCGCUCAGGGCGUGCGGCGGGCUCCUGCCGUGAAACCCCCCACUGUAACCCCAAAGGUUGACCUCGGAUCAGGUAGGAAUACCCGCUGAACUUAAGCAUAUCAAUAAGCGGAGGA